rnacentral:lncRNA from 1 species
ACACUAGCUUUUAUUUUAUUUAUAUGCUCACAUUUAUCCAUAAAAGCCAACCCAUUGAACUAUAACUCCAUAUUCAAAUAGUGGCUUAUAGAACUACAUUUUCUCCCUUGACAAGAUGACCAUCAAUAUCUCUAGUGCAUUUGCUAAGGUAGUCCAUCCAGCCAUUGGGAGUAUCAAUAUCCUCAUUUUUCUUCUCAUAAUCAAUAGUCCAUCUAACAGCAGAACUUCCAUUAUCCUUGAUAAUCACUUCUAAGAUAACGUUAAAGACCUUAUAGUUUUCAAUAUCUCCACCAAACAGCUUGAAAGUGAUUUUUUUGUUCUCCUCAUCAACUUCUUCAACCUGCUCAUUGCAUGUGUGUACCUCGCCAUCUGUUGUUAUGUCAGAGCCAAUUAUAAUACCAAUAUAUAAGGCAAAUGAUAGAUUGAAAUACUAUCAUUUCUACACCCUUAUACCAGUGCUGAUGAGGCAAGGUUUUUUAUUAAAAAAUUAUUGAUAAUAAUAGAAUAAAAAAUAGGGUUAAUAGUGUUUUACCCUCCUUGUAAUAUAGGUCAUUUUCGGAUUUGUUCCUCUAGAAAAUUUUGUUUUGUUUUCGUCCUUGUAAAAAAAAAUUGUUUCAAAAUAAUCCCCUAAUAGGCCAUUCAAAAACCAAAAUAUUUGGAAAAAAAAAAUUAUGAAAAUGGCAUAUUAGGUGGGUAUUCUAUGGGAAAAAAAAUUUACAAGGACGAAAACGAAAAAUAAAAUUUUACAGGAGGUAAACCCGGAAAUGACCUAUAUUACAGGGGGAUAAAACACUAUUAACCCUAAAAAAUAAUAAUAAUUUUAUCUUUCAAUGUCCUCAAACCUAACUCUCUCUCUCUCUCUCUCCCUAAACUUCUCUCUGACACAAAGCUAUGUACCCUCUCUCUCGUCACUCUUCACUCAGAUCUGAAUGGAGGACAAAAUGGUCGACGAUGGUGGACGGUAAUAUGGUGGUGGCUGAGGUGGAUGGAGGUCGACGGUGGUGAGAAGGACGAUGAUUUCGUUGUCUUGGACAGAAAGAGAGAAGAUGGAGCCGGAGAUGAGGGUGGAAACUGAUUUGGGUUUUAGUGGAUAGAUGGUGGAGAGACGAUGGUGGUGAUGUGGUGGACGAUGGUGGAAGAAUAGUUAGCGAGGCGGUUGAGAGAAAAUUCAGAUUUGCUGGGUUUAAGGAGGGGCAAAGUGAUGACGACAGAACAAGUGGUGAGGAGGACGGCAAUCAAUCUGUUUCUGCGGCGGCAUGGACAACUGUGGGUGUGGUGGAGAAGGAUGUUGAUGGUGGUGGUGACUGGUGGUGGGUGUGCAAGGGAUGGGACAAAAUAAUAAUUUUUAUUUAAAUUUUUUUGAUAUGAAAUAGACAUAAUUUUUUAAUAUUAAAUUUGUCAACUAGAGGAUAGUAGAAGAGUGGUAAGAACACAAAAGGGUGUCAAUAUAUAAUAAUAAAAUAAGGUUUUUUCCUCCAAAGAAAAAAAAAAUAUUGAUAAGGAUACAUUAUUUCUAAAAAUAAAAUAUUUUAUUUUUGAGAAAAAAAUAAAUUAUUUUAUUGUUUUCAUUAUAUGGAUACGUAUUUAAGUGGAGAAGUGAGUUGUCCAGGGUUUGAAUCGCGUCCCCUGAAUAUAUCAUGCAAUGCUUAUAUCAACUUAGCUAAACUCACGGGGACAAUAUAUGAUGAUUCUGAUUUUAUAAAAAUGAAUUUUGAGAACAUAACUUGAUUUAUCUUUUUAUUUAUCUGAUAUAUAUACAUAUAAACACACAUAUAUUAAAUACUUAAUUCAUUAUAAUCUAUUAAACUAUUUUUAAAUUAAGUCACUGUUAAUUUAAAUUAUUGCCUUCAUUAUAUAUUAAUAUUUUAUAUAAAAAUUUCUUUUAUUACAUAAAUUAUUGCCUUUAUAGGCUGUUUAGGUGACUUAGGUUCAAAUUAUCGAAUUCAAAGUAUACUUUUUGUUAGACAAAUGUAUGUUAGUUGUUAUCUUAUAGUUUCCUUGAAUCAAAUCAAGAGCCCUAUGUAUAGGAUUCAUUGGUGUUCUUCAGCUCGCAAAACCUAUUUUUAUUUUUUAAUGACAAAUUUUGUUUAAAAUUUGGUUAUGCUCAAGACGAACAGAGACCAGUGUCAUAGAUUACAUAACAAAAGACAUCGUAUAUAAGCGGAACACCUAAAAAAACUCCAUAAAAGACAUCAUACACCAAUCACCUAACCAAAACCUACCUUCAACACCCAUAAGAACACAACCACCAAAACCAACUUCACCACCUAAAUCAAACUCCAUCGCAAACAACCACUGAAAACGAAAUCCAUAAACCCCCUUCGCUCGCUGCUCACCCCAAAAAAAACUCCUCUAAAUCAAACAACCUCUUCUCGUCACCUUAGCUGAGCCAUACCCAAAAAUGACAUAUUUCAAUGCUUAGUCGGCCAUCCCCCCGCUCUCCCCCCGAUCCACCAAAGAAAAAACCAAAAUUAGCCCAAAGCAAAACUUGAAUCAAAGUACGGACUACUGAUCUUAAAUCAAAAACAAUCAGCCCACCAGACUCCAUAAACAAAUCAGUAAGGCACCCCUCACCCCCAAUCUACCGGAGAAGACCUAGCCAAACGAAUUUCGAAUCAGACAUUAACUCUUGAUCUCGAAGCAAACGCGACCGGUCCAUUAGAAUUCAUAUCGCAAACCUGUAAGACAUUCAACAAGAUGAAAGGUGUUCCAAACAGAAAUUAAAUCAAAAAGGAAAAGGCUAAGCUCGAAAACCACCCACACUCAAGCUCCCAAACACAAAAUCAACCAAAAGCACCAAGAGUUAGCGACGACAGAUAUGGACCCAAACAUAUAAAGCGGCCUACAACUGAAACACCGAGAGAUCACUACCACCCAUAAAAUCACUAAAAACCCACUAAUAUAACAUCCACCUCCCUACCUAAAAAAAUGUCUACCACCCCAUAUAAUAAGCUCCCGUUCAUCAAAUGUUCCAACGCCAUAUCCGAGUUCUUAUUAUACACGACCACCCCAUCUGAACAACACCACUACAACACCGAUACACCACCACGCAAACCUAAACCUGGACAACCUCCCCCAACCAUUUCGCAGCACAACUGACACUACUACAACAACAAACAACCGAAACCAACAUGACACCCCCAUCACCACCAAAACUCAGUGACCUCAAAACACUAUACAUCACAAUCUCCUAUCCACCACAAACCCACCAUAACUCGUGACCUCGGCCUCCAUAGAGCAUCACGUCCCCCUCAAUAAAACACCUCAUCACCACCAAAAAAUUUGAACAUCAAUAGAUGAGGUCGCCGACGUAGGAGCCAUCCGUGACUGGAAAGCAAGGCAAGCACAAUCUAAAUCAGAAUAUGCAUAUCUGGUUCGGAUCGGAUCCAAUAAUACGAAGUCGGACCUACAACGUUUAAAUAGAACAAAAAAACGUUGAAAUAGAAUAGAAAACGAAGCAACCACCACUGCACCAAAUCCGACGCGACGGCGUGACCCUUUCAGGAGGUGGAUGGAGGUGGUGCAGCCGCAGGAGGCGCGCACCACCCAAUAGAUGGCUAAAUCUUUACGAGCCGCGUAUGGCGUGUUUGGACCAAGGGAGAGGAACACGACUUUUCUAGAGAGAAGGCAGAGGAUACUUUUCUAAAGACAAGGUUUUUAUGUUUUCUAAAAAAAAAAACUUGUUUUAUUAGAACUAUAAUGAUUAUUAAAAAAAAGGUAAACAUAAAAUAUUUUUCAAGUCAAUUGAAUUGGAAACAUACUUACCUAUGACAAAAGUCCAAUGUUUAACCGAAUCAUUGUGAUGCCAAUGUUCACCUUCGUGAAGCUUACCAUGAUGAACUCUUUCACAAACGUUAUGCACUUCGUGAAGUUCUGAUGCAUAUUGUUUGAAGAACUUCUCCCCUGGUGCUUUAAUCCCAAGUUCAGUGAUAAGUUUACCAGCUAGCACCAUUUUUGGAAAGGAAAAAAAAAACUAAAUACACAAUAAUAGAAAGAAAGAGAAGAAAGAAACAAAAUAGAAAUUUUAAAUCCCAAGUUCUAUGAUAUGAUGGUGUAUGAAACCACAUGCCUUAAAUAGAAAUUUGAUUACAUUUACUAUGCAAUAGACCUAACAAAUUUAAUUAUGCGGCCCACUACUUGAUUCGUGCUCCCCCAACCAAUGCCAUGACAUGAUCUAAUGUACGAAAUAUUGAUUACAACCUGCUAAAUCAUUUAUAAAUUUAAUAUCUAAUUUAAAAAAAUUAAUUUUCCCUUCUAGAAAUGCAUUUUUAUCGUUUUUGUUUUGGUAGAAAAAUACAUUUUUAUUGUUAAUUACAUUAAAGAAUAAACCAGAUAAAAAUAAUUAUUAUCAUAUAUGAAGAAUAUGGAUCAUUGUUACUAAUAUCCGGCUCAAAAGAAAUAUCAUUUUCAAUUCUAAAUUUUAUGUUAUGUUUCUUAAACUUUUUACUUUGGCAGAGCUUAAGUAUUCUACUAAUAGUAAAUUAACCAACUAAACUUACAAAUAAUUUCGAAAUAUAGCACAAUAAGGAAUUGUAGUGUUAAGGAGAUUAUGCGUAUAAUUUUUUUUAAAACAACAAAAACAUUUCACAAAUUCUAUAGAUUAACUGCAAACACAAAAUAUCCAUUUAUUUAUACAUCACAUGAUUUAAGGCACACUAAUUAAGGCACCAUGCCAUUACAAACAUCACACUAAUUAUAAAAUAACCACUUAUAUUCACAAAGGAAGCCCCAUUAAGCCAUAACUCCUUAUUUAUUACUUUCUUUAUGACUUAUCAUAUGAAGCUUAUUAAGCCUUGACAAGAUGAGCAUCCAUGUCUCUAGUGCUUUUGGCAAAGUAGUCCAUAUAGCCAUUUGGAGGAUCAAUAUCCUCAUUGAUUUUCUCAUAUUCAAUAGUCCAUUUAACAGCAGCAUUUCCACCAGCUUUAUCAAUUACUUCAAGGAUGAGCUUAAAGACCUUAUAGUGUUCAUCAAUAUCUCCACCAAAGAGCUUGAAAGUGAUUUUCUUGUUUUGUUUAUCAAGAUCUUCAAUAAUCUCAUGACAUGUGUGUACUUUGCCAUCUGUGUUUUGAUGUCAUGGGAAAUCAAUACAAAGAAAAAUGAAACACAGAUUAAAUUUUUAUAAAUUACUAUUGAAGGUUCUUGAAAAGUGUCUCGGAUGCAUUUGUUAACUUAUAUGACCAAAUUUAACAAAUGGUUAGAAUGAAGUCCAAAGUUUCCGUUAAAGUGAUUUUCAAUGUUUCCAAUUUUUCCUGUAUCUAGAAUUGUAUUUCGAUUCACGUAAAGUAGACUCUAUUCACGUAGAUGUAAACCCUCUAUUCAACAUUUAUAAAUACAUGUUCUUAUAAGUAAACUCUAUUUACGUAUUUCUAUUUAACUUAAACCUAAGUUACCUAUGUGAUUUAAAUUUGCCGUAACUUUAAGAAUACGUGUAUAAAUUUUAGAUCGGGUGAUGAUGUAAAUGUAUAGUAGUGUGUAUAUUUUUUUUUUCCAAAGAAGCAAUAUCCAUACACAAACUGAAACAAAAAAAUAUCCCACAAAACAAUAGAAAUAUGCAAAAGAAAAAAUAUUUUUUUUGUUGGAACGUCGGCAUAAUGGCUAAGGAAUAGGUAAAGGAAACGUUAACAAAUGCAUACGAGACACUUUUCAAGAACCUUUAAUAAUAAUUUAUAAAAAUUUAUGUAAUCAAUACACUAAAAUUUGAAAUAUUUAACUUUUUGAAAAAAUACUUUCCAAAUUUAUAAUUCUUAAAUAGUGUUUUAUGACACUCGCUAACAAGAUCCAUAAACCAAAACAUCUAUGUCUAUCCUAAUUCCUAACCACUAAAACAAAGACCCUUUAACAGGAUAAGUACUGAACAAACAGUAGUGAAUUGAAUUCAUGACAGUUUCCAUAAUCUUGUUUUACAUGUGUGUAUUAACUCAUUUCACGCAUCCCCCACCCCACACCAACGCAUAAAAGUCAGGAUAACAUAUAUUUAUUGUGUUAGUUAGGGUUUGGUUAGAUGUUUCAAAAUAGUGUCCUUGUGAGUGUAGCUUAAUUAGUAUGGAUAAGGGUUCAAAGACCACCACAAAAAUAAAAAAGUUUCAAAAUACUUCAUCAAUAUCAUGAUAAAAGUACUAAUUCUGUUUUAAAAUAAGUGAAAUGAUAUUUGAACAAAUUUUUAUGACAAUUUUUUCUCUCAUACUCACAUCAUGUUUUUGAGGGGUAAUCUUGGCGCAACUGGUAAAGUUGUUGUCAUGUGACCGAAAGGUCACGGGUUCAAGUCCUGGAAACAGCCUCUUGUGUAAAAACCAGGAUAAGACUGCGUAAAAUACACCAAAUGGUGGAACCCCUUCCCGAACCCUGCAUAUGCAGGAGCUUUAGUGCACCGGGUUGCCCUUUACUCACAUCAUGUCUUUAUUUUCUCUCUUUUUUGCUUUCAUUUUUGUACCAAGAUAUAUAUUUCUUUGUAAUUUUCGGCUGUCCCAUAAAAUGGUUGUUCAAAUAAUAUUGCUUUAAAAUAAUUAUAUUUAAUUUUUUUUCUGUCUCAAAAUAAUUGUCAAUUUAUAAUAACAAUACAAUAUUUAUUAUUUCCUCCACUAUUAUACUAUUAUUUAUUUAAUUUCAUCCAACUUAACUACUUCACUAACUACAAUUAAUAAAGGUAUUCUAGUAAAAGAUACUAAUUUUAUCAUUGAAAUCAACACGAUUAACUUUUCCUUAAAAAUAAUACACAAACCUUAAACGACUACUUUGUGCACAAUUUUUUUUAUUUUAUCAGUUACUUGAAAAUAAUCAUUUCUUCUAUCUUUUUAUGUAUAAAAAACAAUAGAGAGAAAAGAAAAAAAACAAGUGAGAGGUAAUAGGAGUAUAUAAGAGCAAAAGAUAUGGUACUUAAAUAAAAAAAAAAAUUUAAAUGGGUCUCACGUGUGUACAAUAUUUAUUUAUAAUUUUUUUUAAUAAAAACAUCUAUUAUCCUUCAAAAAUAAAAACAUCUAUUAAUGAUUCGAUGAAUCCAAUAGCCCGUUAACCAAAAAGAGUUCUUAAAUAGAUCCAUUGAUUUGUAGUUUAACAUGGACAUUUAGAAAAUGAAUUAAAAAAUUGAAAAGAUCAAGCACCCGUUAAUUGUUGGACCAACUUUUAUCUAUUCUCUUCCAUAUUUUAUUCGUAGAACCGGUUAGUUGUUAAAGAGAGAAAAUCCUUAGUUGCGGACAACUAAUAGGUAUGUAUUUCUUUUGUUCUUGCAAAAGUUGUUUCUAAAUAAUUAUACAAAUAUCAUUUAGGUUCUCUAUUACAAUGCAUCAAUCACUACUAGAAAAAGCAAAAUUAGAGAGGGAAAUUUGUGACGGAAAACAUAAAAUUCCUCACAAAUUCUUUGGUCGCAAAAUUUAGUGACGGAAUUAGAGAGGGAUUUCAUGUUUUCCCUCACUAAAUUUCCCUCACUAAUUUUUUUUUUAGUAGUGAAUAUAUUCUUUUGUUUAAUUAAACUGGUAUCUUCAAAUAUAUAUAUAUAUAUAUAUAAUAAAGAAAAUAAAUUAUAUUUGUAUUAAAACCCCGAUUAUUUCAUGCAAAAAGAAUUACAAUUUUGUUUAAUUUUAAACCCCAAUCAUACAACCUUUAAAAACUUUGAACUUUUAUGAAAACUUAUAAAAAAAAAAAAAAAAAAAAAAAAUCAUUUUAAAUGUGAUUAUACCAUUCUAAAAUAACAAAUUAAAGUUUGAGAUUUUUAGAAGAAAUAAAAUUUAUGGUAAAUUCAUAUUUAGUUAUUUAAAAAAAAAAAAAAUCACCGCACAAUUUCUUUGUUUUGUUGAGGCAAUUUUUUCACAUUUUUAACCAACUAGGUAGACCUAGUGUUGUUUGUGAUCUUAGAAUAUUCUCUUCUUAAAAUCUCGCGUCAGAUUCACUCAGAUGCCAAUUCCGAUAGUUUAGUUUAUCCAAUUCAAAACAAAAAAUUAGUGAUAGAUCAAAAUAUAAAUAAAAUUAAUAACAUCUAAUAAAAUCAAAAUCAAACAAUUAGAUGGUAAAAUCAAUAUCCGAUAGUUUCUUUGCUUAAGAAGCAUAAUUACCUAUGACAUAAGUCCACUGUUUAACCGAAUCAGAGCCAUGCCAGUCAUCACCUUGAUGCAGUUUAGUUUCAUGGACUCUUUCACAAAGGUUUUGUACAUGGUGUAACUCUGAUGAGAAUAGUUUAAAGAACUUGGCAGAGGAUGCUUUAACACCAACUUCGGUGCUAAUUUUACCAGCGAGCACCAUUUUUGGGAGAAACAAGCAAGGGAUAAUAUGAGCAAGUGGAAUCAACCUUAAGCCUUAAAUAGAAAUUUGCUUACACUAUACAAUAGAAAAAACUUUUUUUGUUGAAGAAAAUAGAAACACCAAAAUAAAUAACCUAAACAUAAAAUAUUACUAUCCACUACCACUAGACAGUGGUGGAGCCAAGAAAAGAAAACUUCGUAUGGAUUAACAAAAAAUAAACUUGAAUAUAUAGACAAAAAAUUUAUGUUGUAAUCAACAGCAAACACAAAAUUCAUCAUAAAUUUUUUUUUUAUACCUUCAAAAUUUAAAAUAAAUAUUUACACGUUCGGAAUGACAUAAAAGUGUAACUGUAAUGUGUAUUGGAAGGGAGAAGAGGGUAGGGUCGACCCAACACUUGUAAUUGUAAUUGUAAUGCAUAUUGGAAGCGAAUUUUAAAGUGAGACUUUUUUAGUUAAGAAAAUGUUGAUAACAUUUUAUUUUUAUUUAAGUUUUAAUUUACAAAAAAUUUUAGAUGCAAAAUGAUAUAUCAGAUCAUCAUAAUUGAUUUCAUUUAACAUUUAUUUUUCAAUUGACAAUAAAUUCAAUUCAUUUAAUCUUUGUUUGAAGACAAUUCUUUAAAAACAAAUAAGAAAUCUUUGUCAUGUAACGAAAACAAAAAAAAUUAUCUUUGUUGAGACAUUCAAGACUUUUAUUUUUAACCAAAAAAGAGGUGCAGCAAAGGACUGCUACCUCAAAAUAUUAUAGAUAGUGAGAAAAACACAAAGGAGGGGGACAUAUAACCAAAACCUCCUAAAAAUUAACAAACCUAAAAUUGGGUAACCCAAGUCUAUCUUGACGAUAAAAGCUUUGAAUGCAGGCAGGGACCUCCAUCCAAAUAGUGAUACCCUGGAUAUUAAGACCCAUUGAAGCGAGCUUAUCAACACAUUUGUUCCCUUCCCUAUAGAUAUGAGUAAUGAUAUAGUUCAUGUGCUGGAGGAUUAAGAGACAAUUUUUCCAUCUGUUUCUAAGGUCACAAGGAAUCAAAGUGAUAUUUUUAGCUGCAAGCACCACUAAGGAGGAAUCAGUUUCAAUCCAUAGGUUGUUCCAGCCUCUAUGAUGAGCUAUCUCUAUUGCCCUCAUAGCAGCAGAGAGCUCAGCAACGAACGCAUUACCCCCUCCCAAGUUCUCUGCAAAACAAGCCAAGAAGAUCGAGUUUGAGUUUCUGAAAAUGCCCCCACAUGCAGAUGUAUUAAGAGUAGAGGAGCCGUCAUUGUUGCACUUGAUCCAGGCAUUAAUAGGAGGAGACCAUAUGACUUCUUUAAUAAUAGGAGCUUUGGGAGGUUUAAUCUUGAUGUUGAACUUUUUCAAGAUUAUGAAGUCUCUGACAGAUGAGGUAGAUCUUUUGGAAGUAUUAUUCCCAGACAAAGCUACUGACGAGGUGAUGCUAUUAACUGCUAAUCUCUAAUUUGGAUUUUUGUCAUUAAACCUGCUUCGGUUCCUACUAUACCAAAUAGUGCUGAUGAUAUUGAUGAUAGAUGCUUGAAUAACAAUCUUACAUUGAGGGGACCAACCUCUCUGACAGAGAGUCCAAAUGUCCGGGAUUGAUUGAAAAUGCAGUGGAAAAUCCAAAAUAGAAGCAAACCAACACCAUAGUUUAAAAGCGAACGUACAUUCAAAAAAUAAAUGAAAGGUAGUUUCAGUAUGCUGAAAACAAAGGGAACACAUGGAAGGGAAAUAUAAACCUCUCUCUGCAAGUUUCUCGUGAGUGGGGAUCUUAUCAUGGAGGAGCCUCCAAGCUAAGAGGGAUUUGGAUGGUGGUAUGUCAUUGCACCAAACUUGCUCAGCCCAUUGCACCUUGACUGCAUGAUGUAACGCCCACUUUCGUUUAAUUAUUUAUUUAAUCGAGUUUAGGCGAUUAUAUUAUAUUUAUAUAAUAUAUGUGUGAGUUUUGUUGAUUUAAUAUGAUUUAAGUUAAUUUGAAAUAUUUGAUGUGUUUUGGUGAUGAGAUAAGAUUAUGAGACUUGUUUUAUUGUUAAAUAAAAUAAGAUUUGAUAAGAAAAUAAAAAUAUGAAAAAUAUUUAGUUGAGGGCUGUUUUGAGAUUUUAGAGAGUUUUGGGGGAGAAAGUGAGAUAAGAUAAGAUAUUAGGAAGAGCUAUAAAAGAGAUAGACCUAGUUUAAGAAAAAAAUAUUGCACGUACGUUUGUUUUUGGAAAAGAAGGAAAACCAAGAGAAAGCUAGAGAGAGGGCUGCGAUUUCUUCAAUACAAGGUAAGGGUGAGACUAUUAAUUCAGUAUUGUUAAUUGAUAUAGUUCUGAUGAAUAAUUGACAAAGUUAGGAUUGAUUUAGAUAAGUUUUGUAAUUAGGUUAAAUUCCUAAAAUUGAUGAUCAAACGGUAAAACUGAGUUAGAUUGAUGUAGAAACCGUCCUAUAACCUUAGAAUAUGUUUAGGACGAAUUCUGGAUGUGAAAUUAAGCUUAGAACCAUGUUAGAUGAUGAAAUUCGUGUAGAAACUGCAUUCUGCCGGUAGCGACAUUCAUCGCUCGCCUCCCGAGCAAUGAUCCUCGCCACGGCGAGUGAUGAACUUCAUCGCUCGCCACGCGAGUCAAAACCCCUCGCCUCGCGAGUUACAUGUCGUAGCUCGCCACAACGAGCAACCUUACUCGCCAUAGCGAGCAUGCCCAGAGAGCAUGUCAUUUUUUGAGUUUUGAGUUGAACCUUAGAUGCCUUUGAGUACCUUUAGGUGCCUACUAUUGAUUAGUGAAUGAUUUAGAACGAGAUUGAACUUAGAACAUCCUUAGUUGUUAUUCUGGCUUGUACUCGCCAUGGCGAGCAGAUGCUCUCGCCUCGCGAGCACUUCCAGAACUGAGUGCUUUUGAGGAUUGAGAGACUUGAGCUGUUGGGUUUGGUUAGAAAAUGAACUUUAGGUGCUAACGAGACCUAUUAGAGAUAAUGACUGUGAACUGUGAAGAUUUUAUGAUUUGUUAAGGGAUAAUGAAAUGAAAUAUGGAUUUGAUUGUCUUUACUUGAUUAUUGUUAAUUGAUCAAGAAUUGUUGAGAAUGAUUUGUUAUUAAGCUUGAUGUGAUUUGAUUAUGCUGCAAAUGUUAAUUAACUAAGUUGCAUGUCUAUGUAUAAGCUGAUGAUGAACUCCAAAUUAUUGGAUGUAUAUGUGAUAGGUUGAUUAAGAUGUUUUGUUGUUAGAGUCCAUGCAUUAACAUUCAUUGAGCUUUGUCCUCACCAUGAUUAGGAGCUUUGUCCUCCGCACGUUUAGGAGCUUUGUCCUCCGCACAAUGAAAGUAUAUUAAUACUUAUGAUGACGAUUGGUACCACAUGCAUAUAAGUGUCUAAGUUGCAUUGUCGCAUUUGUCGAGUUUCAAAGAUGUUUAUGUUGUUGAUGAUGAAUAAGUUGUGAUUAUGUGAUACAUGUUUAUCAAAGAUGCAAUGUUGAUUAAGACUGAUUAUGAUGUUAAUUAUGAUUUGUAUUAUUUUGAUUAAUAAUAUUGUGUUAAGAAAUCUCACCCCUUCUGCUUGAAAAUGUUGUUCUUCGUAUGAGUAACUUGCAGGUGAUCGUGCUUAAGUGUACAGUUUGCUGUUGUGAGUGGCAUUGCCUCACUGUGUCGUCAAGGUCGCUCUGAUACGUAAUGGGAUGGGGUUUUGAUAUGCAUGCUUCAUUCUAUUACGUGAAACAUUUAUGUUAUUUUUAUAAUGUUGAUUAACUUUUGGAAUACUUUGAUGGGGCCUACGUGCCAAAAAUAUUUAUGGAUUAUGAAAUAAUUUUCCGCUGCAAUGUUUAAGUUAUUUGGUUAAAUUGUUAUUUAACUGUUAUUGGAUUAUGUUAAAUGUGAUAUCCCGUUGUUUAAGUUGUUUACUCUGAUAAUAGUUUAAGAAAUUUUCAUAUUGGGAAAACGGGGUGUUACAAUUGGUAUCAGAGCAGGUCGGUCCGUCCGGUCAAUUAGAAGACUCUUGUCGAGUCUUAGUAAUAGUUGUAUUACUUUCUUAUGUUGUUGUUUCUACUUGUUGAAGAAUAUCAGAAAUGGCUGGAAGGAACGAUGCUGCGUUAGCUGCUGCUCUACAAGCUGUUGCCCAAGCUGUGGGACAACAACCUAAUGCAAAUGCUGGUGUGACUGCUGAGACUAGGAUGUUGGAGACCUUCAUGAGAAAUCAUCCUCGAACUUUCAAAGGAAGAUAUGACCCUGAUGGAGCCCAGACGUGGCUUAAGGCGAUUGAGAGGAUAUUCCGUCUGAUGCAGUGCACUGAGGUCCAGAAGGUACGAUUUGGUACUCAUCAGCUAGCUGAUGAAGCUGAUGAUUGGUGGGUUAGUCUUCAACCUACCCUUGAGCAAGAAGGAGCUGUGGUGACUUGGGUUGUGUUCAGGAGAGAGUUCUUGAGAAGAUACUUUCCGGAAGAUGUUUGCGGGAAGAAGGAGAUCGAAUUCCUUGAGCUGAAGCAAGGAAACAUGUCUGUGACGGAGUAUGCUGCCAAGUUCGUGGAAUUGGCAAAGUUCUACCCACACUAUACUGCUGAGAAUGCUGAGUUCUCGAGAUGCAUCAAGUUCGAGAAUGGUUUGAGGCCCGACAUCAAGAGUGCGAUCGGAUAUCAACAGCUCCGAGUUUUCCCUGAUUUAGUGAAUAGCUGCAGGAUCUACGAGGAAGAUACAAAGGCUCAUUACCACCUGCGAAUGAUGUGUUGCAUUCUGCUUUGAGUAAUACCACCUGCGAAGAUAGUUGAUUUCCUGGCACUAAUAACCUGCCCCGCACAAUUAGCAUAUCUAGUGAAUAAAUUCUGCAAAGCCUGUAAACUUUCAAGAUUCUCUCUGCAGUAUAUCAUAAUAUCAUCUGCGUAAAAGCAAUGAGACGGAAUUUGCGUGUUUCUGGAUCCUGAGAUAAGCUUAAUCUUUCCAUCCUCAACAAGCUUGUUAAUACCCAUGCUCAAAACUUCUUCUGCCAAACAAAAAAGAAGAGGCGACAAUGGAUCACCUUGUUGAACUCCUCUAGAACAGUUGAAGUAACCCUGCUGCACACCAUUAAUUGAAAUAGAAAGAGAUGCUGAAGACAAGAUGGAGGCUAUCCGAUGACAGAAUGUCUGAUCAAAACCAAAACAACUGAGAACUUUUAGAAGGAAACCCCAAUCUAAAGUGUCAAAAGCUUUAGUGAUGUCGAUUUUCAAAGCUAAAUUCCCACCAUAAGCUUUCUUGUCCAAUAAAGUAACUGCUUCUGAAGCAAGACACAAGUCGUCUUUGAUAUUUCUACCUUUGAUGAACCCUUUUUGAUUGUCAGAUAUAAUAGAUGGAAGAAUAGAAGCCAACCUAUUUGCAAUGAUCUUUGAAAUAACCUUGAAUUUGAAAUUAGCCAUAGCAAUGGGCCUAUAAUAUUCCACCCUAACUGCAUUUGAAUGUUUAGGAAUGAGGAUCAAGGUAUUAGCAUUGAAGUUUGGGAGAAUCCAACCUGACUUAAAAAACUGCAAAAUAGCAUCAGUGAAAUCUUUUUGGAUAAUGUCCCAAUAGGUUUGGAAAAACAAGCCUCCAAACCCAUCUGGGCCAGGUGCCCCAUAUUUGUUAAGACUGAAAACUGUUGCUUUGAUCUCUGCUUGUGUCGGGAGCAUGGUAAGCAAUUUGUUUGUGUUGUCAUCAAUAAGCUUUGGAAUAACUUCUUCGACAAGAACCUGUUCCUGCAAAACAUGGUUAGUACAAAAUAAGUUUUUGAAAUAAUCAACAAUGUGUUCAGAUAUUUGUUGUGGGUCACUGAUCAAAUCCUCACCAACUCUCAAACUAGUAAUUUUUUUUGUCUUAUUUUUGAUUUGUGAAAGUCUGUGAAAAUAGCCAGUGUUUCUAUCACCCUCCAAAUGCCACUUAACUUUAGAUUUUUCUCUCCAAAAGCUUUCUUGUCUCUCUAAGGCUAUGUUUAGGUCAAUUUGGGCGGUUUGUUCGAGAUUUAGAAGAUUAUCUGUUGGGCCAGUAGUUUGAAUUUGGUUUUGGAUAUGGUUAAGGGUGACCUCGGCAUUAUUAACAUGCUGGUGGACAUUUUCAUAUACUUCUUUGUUCCAAACUUUUAGCUUUGUUUUCAAGAGUUUCAGCUUAUAGAUAAAAUUAAAAAUAAAUUGGCAACUUGGAAAGGUCGUAUUUUGUCAAUUAUGGGAUGGGUGCAGCUAGUUAAAUCAAUAAUUCAUGGCAUGCUUGUGUACUCUUUUCAUGUGUAUCUUUGGCCUAGAAGGUUAUUGCGGCUUUUGGACUCAUGGUUAAAAAAUUUCAUUUGGAGUGGUGAUGUUCAUACGAGGAAAGUUUGCACGGUGGCUUGGAAAGUUUUGUGUCGACCUUGGAAUGAAGGUGGGCUGGAUAUCAAGCCUACGCGCUUGAUUAAUGAAGCGCUAAUUCUUAAACUGUCUUGGGAUUUACUUGCUACGGAUUCUCAAUGGUCUAACCUCUUAAAACGGCGGUACUUCUUGAAUGGUACGCCCAACUCGCGUUACUUUAAAUCGUCGGUUUGGUCAGGUAUUAAGGAGUUUGUAGGGACGUUCUUGGUGAACUCUUUAUGGAUAGUGGGCAGCGGUGAUAGCAUCAAUUUUUGGACUGAUAAUUGGUUAGGUGCUCCGUUGGUGGAUUUGUUGAAUUUAGAUAAGGAAUUUCACGGUCAUCUCACAAGUAAACUUUCUGAAGCUAUUAUUAAUGGUGCCUUGUUAUUGCCUACGACUCUAGCAGCUUCUGGUGACAUUCAGGCCAGAAUGGAUAGCAUUGUUUUACCCUCCAGCCCGCUGCCGGAUUUGUUUGUUUGGCAGCUUUCUUCUGAUGGAUCCCUUUCUUCCAAGCACGCCUUUGCUUUUUUGUGCCCGCGUGCCACUUUGGUGCCUUGGGCGGAAGUCAUUUGGAGUGCUGCCAUUCCGCCCUCUGUUUCUUUUAUUUAUUGGCGGAUUCAUCAUGGGAAAAUGCCCACUGACGACAACAUUAGAACCCGUGGAUGCAUUGUGGUGUCUGUUUGUAGUUUGUGCUUGCAAGGAUAUGAAACAACUGAACAUCUUUUCCUUUCUUGCGCCUUUGCUUCCCGUCUUUGGGAUUGGAUUGGCUCUAGGCUGAAUCGUGUUGUUGACGCUUCUUCCUUUGAUUCCCUGCUGUCUUGUCGUCCAGCGAGUUGCUCCUCCCAAGUGGCCGACAUUUUUUUAGCCGCAAUCUUGCAUACUCUUCAUACUAUUUGGUGGGCUCGCAAUGCUAUCUGUUUCUCUGCGUUUCAGCCCUCAUUACACUUAGCUAAGGUACGUAUCCACUCUUCUAUUGCUUUGUCUGGGUCGGCCUCUAACGGUAAAUGCAUGACUUCGGAUUACUCCUUUAUGGAUUCGUUUAUGGUGCCACAUCAUCACCGUCGUACCAAGGAUAUGCUAUUGGUAUUGUGGAAGGCGCCGUCCUCCCCUUGGUUAAAGGUUAACACGGAUGGUUCAGUGUUAGGAGGGCACGCUGCUUGUGGGGGUAUUUUUCAUGAUUAUCUGGGUACUUUUAGAGGAGCUUUUUGUUGUAAUAUUGGUAUUCAGUCUGUUUUUUAUUCGGAGGUGCUGGGUUUUAUUAUCGCUAUUGAGUUUGCAGCUUGUAAAGGGUGGCGACACAUCUGGUUGGAAAGCGAUUCCACGAGCGCUUUGUUAGUUUUCUCUAACCCUUUGUUGGUUCCUAUUAUGCUUAGAAACAGAUGGCACAAUGCUCGUCGUCUCGGAGUUCAGGUUAUAGCAUCUCAUAUUUUUCGUGAAGGAAACUGUUGUGCGGACAAACUAGCCUCUUUGGGUCACUCCAGUGUUGGUCAAGUCUGGUUAGACAUCCUUCCUACUGAUUUGUACCUAUAUUUCUUUCGGGAUCGAUGCGGGCUUCCUAAUUACAGGCUACCUUAACUUGUCGGAGUCUGUUGUUUCUUCUUCUGUUUUUUCUGUUUUCUGUUUCUUUUUCUGUUUUCUGUUUGUGGAGGGUUUUGGUCUAGUCCCCCCUCCUUUUGUAAUUAUUUUUUUCUUUUUUUAAUAAAAUUUUCUUGAGUGUACCGGUAUAGGAUGGAGGUAUCUCGGGGGUGUCAACCUAGUUGGGAUGUCGAUGACGCCUCUUGAUGCUGUGUACACUCUCCUAGUUUAUCAAAAAAAAAAAAAAAAAAAAAAAAAAAAAGGACAAAGCAUGGGGCCGCCAACAAAGUUUGUGUGCCAGCAAGAAGCAAUGAAAUCUUUACAAUCACUAUGCAAAGACCACAUUUUGAGGAAUUUAAAGGAGGAAGCAUGACUGUUUUCAAGGAUGAAUGACGAAUGGAAAAACCAAUAGUCUCCUAAAAUAAUUGAAGUAAACAAAUGGAUGAAUGACGAAUGAGUUGUUGUUGUGUAAAACAUGUUUUAAGAGAAAGUCAAUGAAAACACAUACUCUCUCCGUCCCAAAUUGUAUGUCGCUUUAGGAAAAAAAAAUUGUCCUAAAUUAUAUGUCGCUUUACAAUACCAAUGCAACAUUAAUGUUACUUUUCCUAUUAUAACCUUAGCUAUUUAAUUCUUUCAAUUCUUUCAUUUAUUUUUCUCAUAUUAUUUAUUAAGGACAAUUUUGUAAAACAACUCAUAAUAUCUCUUUUCCACACAAUAUUAAUUGCAUUUCUUAAUAUGUGUGAAAUGUCUAAAACGUCAUACAAUUUGGGACGGAGGAAGUAAUACAGAAGAGUUUUUUUUUUUUUUUUUCUCUUGAAAGAAAACAAAUUAAUACUAGGCUAAAAACAAUUCAAAUAAAUAAUGUUUAUAUACUUUUUUUUAAGGAAAGAAGCUUAUAUCAUUUCAUUACUUAAAAUGUGUUCAAUACAUUCUGAUAUUUCUAUCAAAAUCUGGAAACUAGCUGAGGAUGUGGCCGCCUUAGCUAAUCUAUGGGUUGUCUCAUUUGUUUGUCUCCUCACAAACUCAACACUAGAGUUGACAUAGUAUUAUUCAAAGAUAGCUAUACAAUUAUGAAUAAUCAUCCCAAAUUCUGUAACAUCCUGAUGUGCAGAUGAAAAACUAUCCACCACUUUUUUAGCAUCAAGCUCAAAAUUGAUCAAUUUCACAUUUCCUUCUUGUCGCGGAUGUGCACAAGAUGUAUUACAAAUCCUAUGUGCAUCUUGCCAAUCAUGAAGCAUAACUUUUACUCUCUCGACAACAUACACUGGAGCAUCAAUUACCUCAUUCCACACUCUCUUGUUUCUUUGUUUCCAUAUACUCCACAACACACAACAAAAUAAAGCUGCAUCGUCCUUAGAUAAAUCCUGUGAUGCUUUGAAGAUAAUAUUCUUGCUAUCCAUAUCUUGUUGUAGCAAAAUAGAAAUAGAAGAAAAGAAAGGAAGCAUGCUCCAAACAUUUAAGCUACUUGGACAUUGAAAAAAUAAAUGAAGUGUAUCCUCAUUGCUCACCGUAUACGAGUUGGUAAGCAAUUCCUACAAGUUCGCCAAAUAAUUUUUUUUACCUUUGGAUGGAUCUUGAGCUUCCAAAUUAGAUUCCAAGAGCCUUGUACCUUGAAAUGGGAUGUAUCAAGUAAAUCUUCCACACAAAAACGGUAUGCACUACAAACAGAGUAUUCGCUAUGAUUUUCUUUUUUUCAGAUGAGUUGAUCUUCCGUCACUGAUGGGUAGAGCGGUGUCUUCAAUAUAUGUUCAACCACCUGGUGAUCAAAAAUUAACUGCAGAAAAGGUAAAUUCCAUUCCUUCACUAUAUACUAUUUAUAAUGCCUAAAAGAAGGAAAACAUAUAAAAAGUUUAUAAUGUCUGAAAAGAUAACUUUUCAAAGUAAUAUUAGGCUAAAAACAUACUAGCUGAGGCCAGGAAAAAUGACAAAAUGCUAAUUUCUCCCUCUGCAACAUCUUUUGAGGCCUCUUGAAUCUUCAAUUCUUCAUCUUCCCAAAGACUUCACAACUCUUCAGAUGUCUUGCUUUACUGAUAUGCAUGAUUUUUUCGUGAAUUACAACAAAACAUCCUAAAAUUUCUAUGUUUCAGGAAGAAUAUAAUUACAAACUUAAAUAUAGAAAAUGUUACAAAUGUCCCGAAAUCAUAAGAAAUUGUUCUAAUACUCCACUAUUCUGCUUGUAAAACCUACUGAAAUUAACUGAAAAAUAUACUAAGAAUAACGUAAGAUGACCUACCAUCAGUCUCUCAAAUGCAAGGCAAUGAGUAUUAAUUAAAUUGAUCCUUCAAUCCAUUCCAACUUAUUUCAUGAGCAUAUUCACUCUCCCAUUUUCACUUUGUGAUAAAAUUGAAAAAAAUUAUGAACUCAUUCUCGUGGGGUCUUUCAGGUUUCGCAAUAUAAAAGUAUUCACUAUUUGUCAUUGGAUAAACUCUCUAUGCACAAAAAAAAUGUAGGUAUGAGUUGCAAAAGUUUGGAAACCUUUAAUCUUGCUAGGUUAUGGAAUCAAGGCUGGAGAAUAGGUUACACUUCUAAAUCCGGUUGGAAUUAUAGUUGGAUCUCAGACAAUGUCACCUUCACACAACAACAUAAUGGUAUUUUUUUUCUUAUGGCUGACCUUAGUGUAUGACACUGUGUCCUUUCAGAUUAUAAUUAAAGCCUAGAUUGUCCAUAUUCAAUCAACAGGGUUUCGAACAUAUCAUCAACACGCCUUUGCAUGCUUCAAUGCAUGAGGACUUACUUAUUUAGAAGAAGGAAGAUAAUGGUGAGUAUUCUAUUCGUAGUGUCUAUUGAUUAUGCAUGAAUAAAUUACUUCAUACAACUCACUUUAAGGCGCAAUGAUAUUGGGAUUUACCCUAGAAACUGAAGAUGCCACCAAAAGUGAAAAUUUUAUUUGGAGAGUGUGUAGGAAUUAUCUCCUAACAUGCAUGAGCCUUAAAGAUAAAGGACUCAAUAACAUUACAUCUUGUGUUAUGUGUAGUCGGCAUAAUGAUGAUAGACUCCAUCUCUUUUCUAAAAUUCCUGGCCAGUGGCGGAGCCCUAUUCCAUGGAAUAGGGUGGGUCACGGUCCACCUGGUAAAAUUAAAAAAUUAAUAAUUAUAAGGUGUAUUUUGUAAGAUUUUAUACAAUUUUGUGUCGGUUUUAGGUUUCGGGUGAUCCAAGUUUCUGCAAAGUGAUGUAGUGGCCCAUCCGAAAAAUUUAAAUAAUUUAAUUAUAGGUCUAUUUUACGAGACAAUAAACAAUUUUUCGAAGGUUAUAUAGUUUUCCGCGAUUUCAAAAGUAUCAUACGUGAAUUUUGUGAUGCAUAUACUUGGCAUGUUAGCGGAGACUUGUAGACCUUCGAAUUUACAUGAGUUUCAAAUCACCUGCAUAUUAUUCUGUCAACUGAAAAUUUUCUCAGCUAACAGUUGUAAAGUACAAAGAAAAAGUUUCAUAAUUUAUAGUAGUCGUUAAAUAUGUAAUUAUUUAAGUAUCCACUCUAACUGUUUUUGCCAAACUCCGUUAUUUCAACUUCGUAAUUAAUGCUUAUUAUAAUUUUAAUUUGUAUUUAUAUAUUAUAAUUAAUUUUAGUGGUCCGUCCGAAUUUUUUUUCUGGCUCCGCCACUAGCAGUUGUAAUAUUUGGAGUAUGGGGGAAGCUUAUCCUUCCAUGUGUGAUUUAAUCAAUCAACGACAUGAAAGCAAGCACUCAUACUAAUUUUAACAUACUAAAGAUAUUACAAGUUGACGACGCAACUUUUUUUUAGAGAAACAUGCUUAUAGCAUUUCAUUAAUAAUUAAAGAUUCAAUAUAAUCGGGUAUAUCGAAAUAAACGGCAGGACUAGCUAAAGACGUGGCUUCUCUUGCAAGAGUAUGAGCAACCGCGUUGGCUUGUCGCCUAACAAACUCCACCCUAGAGUUAGAAAAGAAAUUACUGAACAACAAACGACAAGAAAAAAUGAUACAGCCAAAUUCGGAAUAUGCAUCAAAUGCAACAUCAAUGCAUCCUUUUCAAAACAAACUAACAAGGUUGAAAUAUGCAUGUGUUUAAGAGAUUAGUAAGGUACUUUCGUUCUGGCUAAAACAAAAUGGUUAAGCCCUGUGUGAAGUACAUAUUGAAGAAGCUCUUAGAUUAUUAUCUGCUUAAGAAUGAGUUUAUGAACUUAACUUGGAACCUGUUGAUUUUGAGCUUCAUAUAGUGGUUAAUAUCUUUUUUUCCCUAAAACGUGAAGUCACAAAGUUUGGGAUUAUUAUUCAAAAUUGUAAAGCUCUUUAUAUGAAUUAUUAUUAAAACUUUAAUGUAGAGUUUGUGAGUUGACAAACAAUUGAGGUUGCUCAUAAUUUUGUUAAGACGGUACAUUAGUAACUAGUUUUCAGAUGCUGAUUGAAAUACCAUAUAGUAUUGAAGAUGUUUUGAUUAAUGAAAAGAUAUAAAUUUUUUACCCUAAAAAGAAAAACCCAUGAAAGCCCUCUAAUAAUGUGUGUAUUGUAUAUACUUUGAUUCACAUUUAAAAUACUUUCAAAUAUUCCGAUUAAGUGGCAUGUGCAUGUCGACCAGAGAGAAUUCUAUUAUUCAAUGUUUAAGAAGUAAGUUUAAGUAGAAAAAUAUUGUACGUAUGAUUAUCAUCAAUGUGAUAUUUCAUUUAGAUCGAUUGGCUUGAAGUGUGGACAACCAUACUAUUUUGAGUAGAAAAUGCAAAAGUUAACUACAUCGCCAGAGAGGUAAAAUUAUUUUCUGUAUUUCUUGUCAUUUAAUAAGGGGUGUUAUUGUGUUCUUGUAACUUUAAAUGAUUAUAUGAAUUUUAAUCAAUUACUUUGUUUUUUUUUUCUGUUAAUAUUAUUGUUAAUGUUUUUUAUGCGUUCAUUGAAGUUCAUAAAUCAGUUUAGGUCAUGUCGAUUAUUAACCAUAACUUUUUGGCUUGACCUAAUUUACAUGUUCAAUUAUCAGUUAGAUAUAGACAUAAAGAAACUUCUAUGGUACACCUCAUAAAUUGGGAUGUAACAAUACUCUUGCUUAAUAAAUUGAUAAAUUAACAAUUAUUUUAGGAAGUAAAGAGUUAUUUGUCAAGGUUUAUAUUUUAGAAAACAUAAUUUCAUAAGAAAAAAACAUAAGUUCAUUGUUUAUAAUAAUCAUAUUAAUUUUUAACAUUUUCUCAUAAAAAAUACUCAAUAUUCUUCGUUAUGAGUAAUAAAAAUUAAAAGAAUUAAAUUUCAUUUCGUUGAUGCUUUUGGUAAAUAAGAUUUAAUUUUUAUAAUUGUCGAUGAAAGAAAAUAAUUAUUUUUCUUAAAAAAACAACUCAUUUAAAAAUUAAUUUAAUUAUUUGGUGUACCCGUACACUCAAAUAUUUGAGCAUACCAUAGAAUUUUCCUAGACAUAAACUACUAAUAAUUAUUACUUACUUUGGCAUUCAUAAACCUUCAUUAGUUAGGGCUCACCUAAGACAUUAGGGAGCAAUAAACAUUGAAGAGAUUUAAAGAACAAUACAUUGACCUAACUAUUUUGUUCAAAGGUAUUGAAAUCAAGUAAUCAAUAUCAUUGUCAGGGGCGGUGAUAAUCAGUGGCGGAUCUUCCUUGGGACCCAUGGUACCGCAAUGUUUCUAUAUAUAUUAUAUCAGGCAUAUUUUAGGUAGCGCAGUGGAAAAGUAGUUGCUUUUUCUCCGAGAUGUCGCGAGUUCGAUUCUUCCUUCUUCUCCCUUUUUUAUAUUUCUGUAUAUAUUUACUUUUUUGUCAAAAAAAGUCCAUGGGGGGAUUCAAACACACGCCUCUACACCAUACUCAUGUAAAUUAACCAUUACAGCAGUUAACAUUUAUGAUAAAUCAUUCAAACAGCUUAAUAUAUAUUUCAUACAAUUUUUGUACCCCCGAGAAAAUAACUCAAGAUCUGCCACUUUAUUUACUUUUUUGUCAAAAAAUGUCCAUGGAGGGUUUCAAACACACGCCUCUACGCCAUACUCAUGUAAAUUAACCAUUACAGCAGUUAACAUUUAUGAUAAAUCUUUCAAACUGCUUAAUAUAUAUUUCAUACAAUUUUUGUACCCCCGAGAAAAUAACUCAAGAUCUGCCACUGUCGAUAAAUUCUUAAAACAACUUAAUAUGACGAUCCUUUUUUAUUUUUAUAUAUGACUAUUUAUCUAUAUAUAUAUAUAUAUAUAUAUAUAUAUAUAUAUAUAUAUAUAUUUUGUGAAGGAAUGAAUUUAUAUAUAUUAUGUCACAUGUGAAUUUGCGAUAAAUUUUUCGCCCAGGCUCUAUGUAAUUCCUGGCUCCGCCACUGAUCAUUAUAUUCAUAGUUUGUAGUCACUUAGAUAAUUCGGGGAAGGAAAUAUGACAUAUAGCCUAGUUGCUUUCUCACUCUCUUAACGAAUUAAAACCAAUCACAUUGUAAGGGGACCCCCUAUUUACCGUGAUUUUUAGUAAACAACCGCUGGUUUUAAAAUUAGUUACUUGCAAGAUCAACCAGUAAAUCUUAGGACAUAUUGUCUUUGUUAUUUUCCAAAAUAUGAUGAAUGUUCUUGAUGUUCUUAUUUAAAUGAUGAAAAUAACCGUCGAAUUUAAGAAAGUUAAAUCCGUCGAAGUUCUUCCCGAUUGAAAUGAAUAGAAAAUACUUAAUUUAAACAAGUAAAUUGCAAAGGAAUUUAAGAAGACAAACUUAAAUUGCAUUGAUUGAAAGUAAAUUGGGACAUAGAUUCAUACAUUGUGACUGAUAACUCGUUUCUCUCUAGAUGUGGAUAGUUUAAGUGUGAAUUUUCUAUAUGAAUGUAUUGUGACCCUUUUUUUCUAUGAAAAAUUGUUAUUUAUACUAAAAAACUACCUGCACAUAGACAUUUGAAACUAUAACUGCCCCUAACGGCUUAGAAACGGCUCUUCAAUUUGAAUUUCAAAAGCAUGCCUUAAUGAUGCCAGUUAUUUGAUCUUAUCUGAAACCAAUCCUUUUCGAUGCCUUCAAUCUUGUCUAACUGUAAUCUUCCUAAUGCCAUAUUUUGCAAAGUACACACCUUCGACAAAAAUAUCAAACAUGUGAAACUCGAGAAUCUUUGUGGAAAUGAAGUCUUUUAUAAACAUUACAACUUUUCGAACCCACUAGUACAUUUGCUAGUAUUUUGUCAUCACCUUAUAGAGAAUAAAACUUGAGUCUUUUGAUUGUUAAAACAAUGUAUUGGGGCUUGCCAAAACAUCUGUAGGACAUGCAUCACGUGUUGUGCUUCGUCAAUUCAAGCCUCAUGAAAAAAAGAUAAGAAAUUUGAGGACAAUAUGAGAUAAUCUCUGCAUACAACUAACAAAGAGAUAUAAGGAUAUGGGUCUCUUUGUUGAAUUUAUACUAUAUAUAUAUAUAUAUAUAUAUAUAUAUAUAUAUAUAUAUAUAUAUAAAGAAAACAAUAUUUUUCAGCUCUUUUGAACUGAAUUGUUGUUUUUAAAAAUGCCUUUAAUUUUAAAUACAAAUAACACAUGCAACAAAUAGAUAAGAAUAAAUUUAAAUAUUAAAAUAAAGUAUAACAAACACAAAUGUCCUAAUUUUUUUUUUCUUUAUCAUUUAAAAAGUAUAACAAAUUAGAUGAAUAUAUAUAUACUUAUUUUUACAUUAUCCAAAUUAUACCCUUAAACAAUAACUUUUUCUAUGAUAAAGAUCGUUGUUGGUGUCAUUAAAAAAAAUUAAGAAUUUGAAUUAUAUUUUUUGGUUUUAUUGUUAGUUUCAUUUAAAUAGAUAAUCAUUCUUUCAAAAAAAAAAUUGAAAUAGAUAAUUAUGGUUAGUUUAAUUUGUUAUAAUUUAAAAGCAAAAAAUAUUUAAAUUUUUACUUUUAAUCAAAUUAAAAUUUCAUAAAAAAAUACAGUUCAUAAUUUUCAAAUUUAAGUACAAUAAAAACUUGCUCGUCCGUUCGGUAGUAAAUAAUAAUAAUCAUGUACACGAUUUUGUUAUUUAUAUAAGAGGAUAUAUAUAUAUAUAUAUAUAUAUAUAUAUAUAUAUAUAUAUAUAUAUAUAUAUAUAUAUAUAUAUAAUUGCAUUAGGUUCUUCUUUUCUUUAAUUUUUCAUGAACAAAUAAUUGCAUUANAUUUGUUUGUCUGCAAGUAUACAUAAAGGACAAUUAAGCGUGGUAAAGGGAACCCAACAACUCUGCGUACCUAUGACAAAAUUAUUAAACAGACAAAGAUACCAUUAUUCACACCCAAUAUAUCCCAAUAUCUGGACGAAUAUUUUUUUAUACACAACUAUCUCGUCUUGCUUGAGAGCCCAAAACUACUUACAAUUUAGACCAAUCUAUUGCUAAUUUUUUUAUGGAAAAUGCUAGAUAUCAAGAAUGAUUUUAUAAGAAAAAUUCAAGAAUGACAUGGCACAAUAAUCACCUUUAGAUUUCAGUCUCAUUUAUUAAUCUUUCAUAAAAAAAAGAUACAUAACACCCACCACCCCAUGAUUUCCGGCCAGGCUGAGAUUUUAUUGGUUAACAUUAAUUUCAGGACUAUUUCUUGAUAAAAUCUAAGGGUGAUUAUUCUGCCAUGUCAUUCUUGAAAUUUUCUUGAAAAAAUCUUUCUUGAUAUAUAGCAUUGCUCUUUUUUUUAUAGACAAUAGUUUUUUUUUUGAAUAAUAUAGACAAUAGUUUAUUUAAAGGUAAACUAUACAAUUAUUUCUUUUAACUUAUGUGUGGUUUCAAUUUGUUAUCCAACUAUUUUUAUUUCUUUUUAAUUUCCUAAAUAUAUAUGAUUUACCAGUUAAUCUUUGCAACUAAUGUUAACCUCAAUUAUCUAAAGUGGAUGAACAUUAUAGAAUCAAAGUAAAAUCCCAAAAUAAUUUAAGAGACUAAAGUAUGUAAUUUAGCACAACUCUUGUCAAAGGGAAACGAAUGAUGUUAUGAAGGCAGCUCUUAUGAAAUUGAAGAAUUUUACAUUUUUAUCAAUGUGAAAUUACAUGAUUGUCCAUCAUUACUUUUUAUUUAGUAAGUCUCACCUUUAAAAAAAAAAAUCAGUUCAUAAUAAAACAAAGGGUUAAAUAUAUUUUUAGUCCCUAUAAAAUUGAGACCUUCAAAGUUUAGUCCUUACAUAAUUUUAAUAGUUCUUUUAGUCUCUACAAAAAAAUUAUGCACUCAGUAUUAGUCUCUGCUCAAUUCAAAUUUGUUUAAUUUAUACUUAAACUCUUAAGUUUUUCAACAAUUUUUUGUAUACAUGUUAAAAACAUUACUAGAAGUACAUCAGCAAAAAAUAUCGCAAAUUUUGAUUUCUACGUCCAGAUUUUAUUACUUUUAUCUUUAACUUUUGUCGUUUUAAAAAAUUCAUAUUUAAUUCGUUUCAUGUUAAAAAAUUCUAAAUUUUAGUAAAUGAACUUUUUAUAGUGUUCUAAACAUGUCCCAAAAAAUCGUUUGGAAAUUUAAGAGUUUAAGGAUAAUUAAACAAACUUUGUUUUAGUAGGGACUAAAAAUAGAAAUAAUUUUUUUUUUUGUAAGGACUAAAAAUACUAUUAAAAUUAAGUAAGGACUAAACUUAAAAGUUUUCAAUUUUAUAGGGACCAAAAACAUAUUUAACUCUUCUACUUAUACUUAUUGUUCUUAAAAUACCUUCUACUUAAUGUUUUAGUAGCAAGAUGAAGAUUUGGCAAACUAAACCUAAAAUAAACGAGAACAUUAUACACAAAUUUUAACUUCAAACCACACAAAUAUUCAUUUAUUUGCAUCACACAUAAUAUAAGAUACACUCCUCAAGACAUCACCGACACAUUUAUUCGAUACAAACAAAGGAUCAAGGGAAGCAAAUAUGCAUGUUUAUGCUACAUGCCAUUAUACAAACAUCAAACUAGCUUUUAUUUUAUUUAUAAACUCACUCUAGCCUAUUAUAAAGAUGAACACUUCAUUAUUUAUAUGCUCACAUUUAUCCAUAAAAGUCAACCCAUUGAUUGAACUAUAACUCCAUAUUUAAAUAAUGGCUUAUAGAGCUACAUUUUCCCCCUUGACAAGAUGACCAUCAAUAUCUCUAGUGCAUUUGCUAAGGUAGUCCAUCCAGCCAUUGGGAGUAUCAAUAUCCUCAUUUUUCUUCUCAUAACCAAUAGUCCAUCUAACAGCAGAACUUCCAUUAUCCUUGAUAAUCACUUCUAAGAUAACGUUAAAGACCUUAUAGUUUUCAAUAUCUCCACCAAACAGCUUGAAAGUGAUUUUUUUGUUCUCCUCAUCAACUUCUUCAACCUGCUCAUUGCAUGUGUGUACCUCGCCAUCUGUUGUUAUGUCAGAGGCAAUUAUAAUACCAAAAUAUAUAGCAAUAAAAUACGCUUUUUUUCUUCUAAAGAAAAAUACAAUACGUUUUUUUAAUAGGAAUAUGAAAAAGAUUAGUUUCACCCCAAAGAUAAAAAUAUUUUGAUAAGGAUACAUUAUUUCUAAAAAUAAAAUAUUUUAUUGUUUUUGUUAUAUGGAUACGUAUUUUUGUUCUUGAGAUGUUAGGUUACCGAUGAUAAGAGUGUGACUUUUUAACCUCAAAGAACAAAAUUAAAAGGGGAAUGCUAACGAGUGUCUUUGAUGCAUUGGUUAAAGUUUGGUAAAAUUACACAAUUGGUCUUUUAACUUAAUUUUAAGUAUCAAUUUCGUCCUUUAUCUUCUUUUUUUUGUCACGAUUUAAUCCUUUAUGAUAUAAAAUGACAACAUGGUUAUCCUUUUUUAUGAAAAAAAUAAUCAAAAACUCCAAAAAAAAUCAUCAAAACACAUAGACAAACGCAAAUCUUCAUCAUACAAGCCUAUAAAAUCAAAUUUCAUUGAAAAAAUCUCAUAAGAAAUGAUAAAAUAUUGUCAUUUUAUAACAUAAAGACUAAAUCGUGACAAAAAAUAAAUAAAGGACGAAAGUGUUACCUAAAAUUAAGUUAAGGGACUAAUUGUGUAAUUUUGUUGUUAAAGUUCUCAAAUAGGUAAGUUUGCAUUAAAAAGUAGUGUAAUUAUUAGGCUAAAGUGCACUUUCCCCUCCAAAGUUUCAAAAAGUUGUGAUUUUGGUCCUAUGUACAAAAACUACAAUUUUGGUCCCUAACAUUUAACCUCUUUAUAUCUUUGGUCCUUUUGGCCAAUUUUGAUCGGUCAAUGCCUACAUGGCACGUCACGUGUGUAAUUAUUGAAUUAAAGACAAAAGUAAAGUCUUGUAUUUUCAAGACAAGGAUUCUAUUAAAAAGUUUCUUGAUCAAUAUUCUGAAGGCACUCGUUAGCAAGACCCAAAUUAAAAUCUGAUAUAAAAUAGUUUGUAAAAUGAUUAUUAGUGUCAUCGCUACUAAUAAUAAUUUUGCUUUUUUCUUCUAGUGACGCUAAAAGUUUGACCUUUAAAAUUUCAAGGAAUUACAUUGGCACGCUAAUGAAACAUUAAAAAAAUGUUUUACGAGUAAAUUACUACCAUUAUUGUUGUAAAGAUACGCAUAAAAAAAAUAUUUUUAUAAAAAAAUAAAAAAUAGUGUAAUUGUAUUUGUAAUUUAAUCAUGUGUUUAACCACACUUCCAUCAUCAUGCCGCUUUGUAGAUUUACUUUUUUUGUUUAUCUCCUCCACUAUUUUAAUGUGGCCUUUAAAUUUUAUUUUUUUUUACAUAAUAUUUAUAUAAAAUCAAUUUUGUAGAGAUCAAAAUUUAAUUUCAUGAUCAAGAGUAAUUGAGGUCUUUUUGGUAAUCAGUUAAGCUAUGCAAAUGUCUUAAAUUUAUCUGUUAUAUAAUAUACUUAUAACCAAAUUAAUUUUUUAGAGAUUUUUUUUUUUUUCAUCCAAAAUUUUGAGGCCUAUAACCCUUGCUUGGGUUGCUUGGCCCUUAGACCGGCCCUGUUCUGCAGGUAACCGGUAUCCUGCAGAUUCUGCUAAGGAUUUAGGUUCUCAGAUAAUACCUUCAUCUUUAAUUGUUUCCUUGGGAUCUUAGGAUCCGCAAGAAAGGUAUAUCCGCAGAAAAUGUGAAAAUAUCCCGCAUAAAACAUUCGGUCAGUUUUCAAGGAGUUUCCUUCUGCCCGUUAGCACUUUGCUGCAAACAUACUCGCAGGUAGUUCUGCAACAAACAGCACAGCAAAAUCCGCAGGAAACGAUAACGAUAACGAGAACAACAACAAAACUCAUGGGAAAAUCCUAGGUACGUACUUGGCUGCGGAACGUAUAUUAAUGGUUUAAAUUUGGGAAUUUAUAACGUGCUCCUCUCGCUAGGUUUCAAGUUCAAAUUAUCUAGAUACUAAUUAUUCUUGUAUUGAAUAGUCCAUACAAAAUUUUGUUCAGAUUUCAAUUAGCAUCUUUUGCUUGUGAACAAUGAAUUAUUUUUUUUUAGUAGGUAAAUUAUUGCCUUUGUAGGUUCUUUAGGUUCAAAUAGUUGUCUUCAAAAGUAUAACUUUUCCAACCAAGUUGUUUGGGCUCCAGUGGCAAUGAGCUCCUUCCAAGGAUGUACUCGGGGAAUACUGGUUUGAUUCCCAGGGGAACAACACUUGGCUAGUGCACAUUCCUCUACGCACAAGUUUAAUUAAUCGCCCACCUUGGUGGGUCGGAAACCGGUGCGAAAGAAAAAAAAAGUAUAACUUUUCCUUUUGUCAAAAAAAAAAAGUAUAACUUUUCGUUGACAAAUCAAAUCAGAAAUCUUUUGUGAUCAUUUAAAAAAAAGUAAACAUAAAACUUUUUCAAAUCAAAUAAGAUGAUGAUUUAGUUAUCAGAUCAAUUGAAUUGGAAACAUAGUUACCUAUGACAAUAGUCCAGUGUUUAACCGAAUCAUUGUGAUGCCAAUCUUCACCUUCAUGAAGCUUGGCAUGAUGAAUUCUUUCACAAACUUUUUGCACUUCGUGGAGUUCUGAUGCAAAUAGUUUGAAGAACUUCUCCCCUGGUGCUUUAAUCCCAAGUUCAGUGAUAAGUUUACCAACGAGCACCAUUUUUGGAAAGAAAAAAAAAACUAAAUACACAAUAAUAGAAAGAAAGAGAAGAAAGAAACAAAAUAAGGGAUGUUUUAUGAUAUGAUGGUUUAUGAAACCACAUGCCUUAAAUAGAAAUUUGAUUACACUGUGCAAAUUAAAUUAUGCGGUCCACUACUUGAUCCGUGCUCCCCCAACCCAUUAAUUAUUUAUUUUUUAGGAAAAGAUGCUCGUAGCAUUUGAUUAAUAAUAAGUUGUUUAAUAUAACGAGGUAUAUGAUAACAGAUACUGGGACUAGCUAGUAAUGGUCAGUCUUCGUUAGGAUAUGAGCUACCUCAUUGGAAUUUAACCUAUUAAACUUGACCUUGGAGUUUUUAAAAUGAGAAAAAUACAAUCUUCGGCAAGCAAAGAGGAUACACCCAGUCUCCGUAACAUUAAUCUCAUCCUAAUGAAAGGCAUUUACAAUAACUUUUGAAUAUGAACUGAAGUCGACAUUAUCAAAAGCCAAAUUGCUCAUCCACUCCAAUGCAUAGAAUAAAGCCAAUGUUUCCCCUACGGGGACUGAACACUUGGCAAAAUAUGAAUAAAUUUAGCAAGCACAAAAGUACCUUCCUCGCCGCGAAUGCAAAUACCUAUUCCUUUUCAAUUCAACUGGUUGGAGAAAGAUGCAUCAAUGUUGCAUUUAACACGACCAUGAGCUGGUGGCUGCCAUCUUAACAUGGUUACAUCGGAACUUCUCACCUAAGUGUUCUCAUUUCUGAAGCUUGUCACUUGCAUGGCUUGGUGUCGCUGUUAAAUUAAUAUUGUCACUAUUUUGUUGUGUUGUGUGUGGCCCCUUCUGAGUUGCAGUAACCGCAUUCGCCAUUUUCCAAUCCUCUACCAUACAUACAACCCUGUCCAUCACCUGUGCAGUCGUUUUCGUGAUGUCCUGCCACAACUUGAGGUCUAGUGUUUCGACAUGCUCCAAAUGCUUAUUGCAAAGCGCGAGCAUGAUCAUCUGCCAUAUCAUCAAGCAACUUAAAAAUACAAUCAGUUGUUGAACCUAUCUGAAUAAACAUCCAGUUCACCAUAUCCCAAAGUCCGCUACAAUUCCAAAUUAGAAUAGCAUAAUAGUAGUUGAAAAAAAUAUGAUUAAUGUUAAAAGUGACUCAAAAUUGAAGUUUGAGAAUCUACCAAAAUAGUAGCACAAUUUGGAAAAUCGUAGCACGUUUUUUGGACUAGAUUUGGCACUUCCCAUUCUGGAAAAAUCGUAGUACGUUCUGGCAAAAUUGCAGUACGAUUUUACGCUGAUGCAGAAAAAUAGAAACAUAUUUUCAGCUUCAGAUUUGUUCCAAAUUUUGAGGGAUACUUUUACUAUAAAUAUAGACCUUGUAUCAGAUGCAAAACAUGUAGAGAGUAGAAAAACAAGGUUUAGAAAUGAACAACAAACUAAGGUUUAUAGAGAUUUCUCUAGGCAACAAACACUAUGGUUGGGAUUGUUUUGAUUCACCUUGAACGAAACACUAUUAGGAUUGAAUCUCUUGAUCACGGGAAGAGAUUGAGACUUUGGGUAGAAUUAGGUUUGAAGACUAAUUCUUGUAACCUUUGAUAUCUCUUUUGUAAAAUCAUUAUAGUGGAAUGGAGGGCUGCUCUCUCCCCCAGACUAGGUCAGUAUUGGACCAAACUGGGAAAACUAAUUUUCAUGUGUUCUCUCUUUAUUUCUCUCAUUUUUUCUACUCUUGCUUGUGUUUAUAAUUGUCACCUACAUUGUUUUGGUUGCUUAAUUAAUUUUUUCCACACAUCAAGUAUUUUAUUGGUGUGAUUUUUUAACGAAUUCACAACAUAUGGCGCCCACCGUAGAGCAAGGGGGAUAUUGACAAGUGGGAUAUUGAGAGGUUAACUGGAAGUAACAAUUUUGGGUUAUGGAAGGUCAAGAUGGAAGCGGUUUCGAUACAACAAAAGUGUGCACAAGCUUUGAAGGAUGAAGGUGUGUUACCGAUCACCAUGUCACAAGAGGAGAAGACUGAGAUGGUGGGCAAGCCCAAGAAUGCCAUUGUCUUUUGCCUCGAGGAUAAAGUUUUAAGUCAUUUAGCGAAGGAACCAAUCGCGGAAUCGAUGUGGUCAAAGUUGGAGUCUUUGUACCGCGGAAUCGAUGUGGUCAAAGUUGGAGUCUUUGUAUAUGACAAUCUCUUUGGCUCAUCGGAAAUUCCUAAAGCAACAACUCUACUCAUUGAAGAUGUUGGAGUCAAAGUUCAUCAUGGAGUAACUUACGAAGUUCAAUACAAUCCUUGAUGACUUGGAGAAUAUUGAGGUGCAUCUUAAGGAUGAAGAUAAAAUUAUACUCUUCUUGUGUGCUCUACCGAGAUCAUUUGAAUCUUUCAAGGAUAUCAUGCUUUAUGGCUAAAAAGGCACUGUCACCUUGGAAGAAGUUCAAGCUGCUUUGAGAACCAAGGAGCAAACCAAGUCCAAGGACUUGAGAGCUGAUGAAAACGGUGAAGGCAUAUCUGUUUCAAGAGGGAAUGGUGGAGGUAUAGGUAACCAAGGAAAGAGUGGUAACAAGUCAAAGUUUAAUUGCUUUAAUUAUCACAAGAUGGGUCACUUCAAGAUGGAUUGUCCAUAGAACAAUGGUAACUCCGCACAAAUUGUCUCCGAGGGUGAUGAGAACACGGGUGCUUUGAUGGUGUCUCGUUGGGGUGAUAAAGAAAGUGAUGUUUCUCACCUUGGGAAUUAUGCCUUGUAGAGCGGUGGUCGUCUGGAGAGACAUUAAACAUUCAACAUCACCCUGGAGAGGCGGUCGAAAGAAUAGUCAUGGUCAGUCUGAAGAGGCGGAGGUAAGAAUACUCAUGAUCAACCUUUGAGGUGGAGUUGCAAGGUGAAAGACAUAGUGUGUGUGAGUGUGUGUGUGUGUGUGUGUGCGCGCGCAUUUGCUAGUUGAGGUAGAGAAAGCUCACCUUGAGGUGGAGUUGAUGACAUUGGACAAAGUAUGACUAUGGAGACCUUGGGUGCUAGGCUCUAGUUGUUAGCAAGAGAAUUCUUCAAAAAGACGGAAGGCAUUUCGGAUUUUGAAGAAUGUAUGACAUGACUUGUGUGAUUAUCUAAAAGACCAAGGAUGAUUGGAUACAAGGUGAUCUUCAAGGAAGUGUGAGACUUUAGUGGUUGAAGAGGGUUUGGUGUAGACUUGUGGAACUACCUAAAAUUCCUAGUGUAGUUGGAUGCAAGGAUCUUCAAGAAGGCGGAAGGCAUUCCGAUGGUUGAAGAGGCAAGGAUGGAAACUUGUGGAGAUACUUGGUGUAGUUGGAAGCAAGGGAAGAUGAAGGGUGGAGAGAGUAGCAAGGUGAUGAUUGUUAAAUUGACAUCAUCACUAAUUUAGAGUCAAGGUGGAGAAUAGUUGAAAGUGACUCAAAAUUGAUGUUUGGGAAUCUGCCAAAAUCACAACACGAUUUUUGGACCAAAUUUGGCACUUCCUAUUCUGACUGUGCAUAUCUGAUUAUGUGGCGUUUCUGCCUAUUUUUUUAGUGAGAAGAAAUGCAACAAGGAAUGAGGAAAUGAAGAAGUAAACUUCUACCUAAAUUGCAUCACUGGCUAUGAGACCUGCACCACGAGAAAAAAUUUGGAAAUCAAAGUGAUCCCUUUGGCUAAAAGGGAUGCUCAAUACCUACCUCACAUCGCGAGGAUAAGGCUCGGAUCCUACACUAAUUUUCUUGAGGGAAAUGGAUGCCUAUAAAUACUUAACCCUAUGUUAGUAGGAAAAACACCUUUUGACGAACAUAACAAGGUAGAGCGACCAGAACCCUUUGGAAGCCAAGGAAAAGUGAUUCGGUGAUCCUUUUCUUAUGUUUUAUUGUUCAUAUAUAAUUAUAUGUAUUUAGAAGUCAUGAGUUUCUAAAUCCUCUAUAGGUUAGGUCGUAAAAGAGGAAUUUCCCUGUAAUUAUUUAUUCUUGUAACUUUAAAUGAUUAUAUGAAUUUUACUCAAUUACUUUACUAUUUUAUUCGGUUAAUAUUAUUGUUAAUGUUUUUAAUGUGUUCAUUGAUGUUCAUAAAUCAGUUUAGGCCAUGAUGAUUAUUCCAUAACUUUGUGUCUUGACCUAAUGCAACCAUUCAAUUAUCAGAUAGGUACAUACAUAAAACAAUAAUAAUCACUACUUACUUUGUCAUUCAUAAAUCUUCAUUAGUUAGGGCUCACCUAAGACAAUAGGGAACAAUAAACAUUGAAGAGACUAAGGCAUUGACCUAACUAUUUUGUUCAAAGGUAUUAAAAUCGAGUAAUCAAUAGCAUUAUAUUCAUAGUUUGUAAUUAAAACUAAUCACAUUGCAUGGUGCGAUUUUGUUAUUUAUAUAAGAGCAUAUCAUUAUAUGUAUACACUAGAUUUGAAUGUAUAUAUAUAUAUAUAUAUAUGUAAAUAAUUAAUGCAUUAGGUUCUUCUUUUCUUUAAUUUUUUAUGAACAAAUAAUUGCAUUAGAUUUGUUUGUCUGCAAAUAUACAUAGAGGACAAAUAAGUGUGGUAAAGGGAACCCAACAACUCUGCGUACCCAUGACAAAAUUAUUAAACAGACAAAGAUACCAUUAUUCACACCCAACAUAUCCCAAUAUCUGGACCAAUAUUUUUUUAUACACAACUAUCUCGUCUUGCUUAAGAGCUCAAAACUACUUACAAUUUAGACCAAUCUAUUGCUAAUUUUUGUAACUAAAUUCUAUUAAUGGACAUUUCGUCUCAAAUUACCUUUAUAAUCUAUUUAAAGGUAAACUAUACAAUUAUUUCUUUUAACUUAUGUGUGGUUUCAAUUUGGUAUCCAACUAUUUUUUAUUUCUUUUUAAUUUCCUAACUAUAUAUGAUUUAGCAUGUUAAUCUUUUCAACUAAUUUUUAACCUGAAUUAUCUAAAGUGGAUGAACAUUAUAGCAUCAAAGUGAAAACCCAAAAUAAUUUAAGAGACCAAGUAUCUAAUUUAGCACAGCUCUUGUCAAAGGGAAAGAAUUGCAUUUUUAUCAAUGUGAAAUUACAUGUUUAUCCUUCAUUUAUUUUUUAUUUUGUCAGUGACUCCUCUGUGCUGUUUAGCAUAAGUAAUCAGCUCAUAAUAAUGUAACUAAACUACUACCUCCGUCCCUAAUUAUAGGGCUCUUUUGAAAAAAUAACGGGAAUUAAGAUAGUGGAUAUUUGUAUUAAAUAUGUUUGUAAUUACUAUUGCUGAUUGAAGAAAAAUAUGUAUAAUAAAUAGGGGCAUGUAUAUAAAGAAAUAAUUAAUAUAGUUGGAAAUAGUAAAAGAGUCUUAUAAAAAAGGACAAAUUAUAGUUUUUCCAAAAGAGUGUUAUAAUUAGAAACGAAGGUAGUACAUGUUUUAGCAGCACGAUCAAGAUUUGGCAAACUAAACCUUAAAUAAAUAGAACAUUAUACACAAAUUUUAACUUCAAAGCACACAAAUAUCCAUUUAUUUGCAUUACACAUAAUAUAAGAACACUCCUUAAAACAUCACCGACACAUUUAUUCGAUACAAACGAAGGUUCAAGGGAAACAAAUAUGCAUGCUUAUGCUACAUGCCAUUAUACAAACAUCACACUAGCUUUUAUUUUAUUUAUAUGCUCACAUUUAUCCAUAAAAGCCAACCCAUUGAACUAUAACUCCAUAUUCAAAUAGUGGCUUAUAGAACUACAUUUUCUCCCUUGACAAGAUGACCAUCAAUAUCUCUAGUGCUUUUGCUAAGGUAGUCCAUCCAACCAUUUGGAGUAUCAACAUUCUCAUUGUUCUUCUCAUAAUCAAUAGUCCAUCUAAGAGCAGAAGUUCCAUUAUCCUUGAUAAUCACUUCUAAGAUGAGCUUAAAGACCUUAUAGUUUUCAAUAUCUCCACCAAAAAGCUUGAAAGUGAUUUUUUUGUUCUGCUCAUCAACUUCUUCAACCUGCUCAUUGCAUGUGUGUACCUCACC